AUAGAAACCCACAUAUAUCAAAAUCUAGAAAACUUCAGCGUUAGAAACCUACAAAUAUUACAUUUAUUUAAAUUUUAUAUGCAACAACCUUUUGUUGCACCUGUGAGAACUCAGGUUUUUUUCCAGUGAAAUGAAAACUUAAAUUCCCACUGACAACUGCCACAUGGACAUACUUGGAUUUUUGUAUCAUCUGCCCUGAUAUAAUUUGGUAGAUUUAAUAUGCUCAUAGAAAAUGAACUUGAAAGUAGAACCAAAGGUCAGGUGUAGUUUGUAGUUUUUUUACUGUCUUAUCUUAGUUCAUUUAUGUUUCCACCAAGAAACAUGUUUCAAUCAAACUUUUUUUCAUUUUUUCCUGGGAAGGUUCCUUAGCAAAGGAGGAUGUCAUUAAAUCAGGGCAUGAAAGACACAAGUUCUAAGAGUGAACCUAAGUGGUGAAAUCUACAGGUAUUUUUAAAAAUGGGAUUCUCAAGGGAAAACUAAUCAGCAAUGUUUCUGUUUUCUGGUUGUUCUCCUUGCUAUGAAAGGCAUGAGAAUACCUUGCUGUGUUCUGAAUUCUUGUCCUGCUUACUUUUAUGAGAAUAAUCUGAGAAGUGUCAGUGGUUAUCUUCCAGGGUAAUAUGUACUUUCAGGGAACAUCAGAACUGGUUGCCAGCAUUUGGUCCCCUGACUAUUGACUUUACUUACCCUGCAAGCCUACUCUGAACUCCUGCAGUGUUAAUGCAGUAAGUUAGUAAAUUGUGCAGCUUGGCUGGCCCUAUAUAAAAGGACUCUCUACAUAGAAUGAAUCUGGUUAGAAAAAGUGAUAGGCUAUCAAAAAAAAAUGUAAGUGAUUUUGGCUCCCUUGGGUUUUGAAUAAUACCCAAACCAAGAACUCUAAGUGACCCCUGAAGUCUGACACCAGUUUGGCCCUCCUGUCGUGGGGAGCCUCACUCACUGCUGCCUCAGGUGUGUGCACUGGUGUGAGCUGUCUCCCUCGCCACUCCCUCAGCUGUGGGAACUGCAGAGAAGUGGGAAGAAAUGUUUGUGUGGAUUUGACAUCCCUGUAACCCAGGUAAUGGUAAGUAACCUUUGUUUUUUUAAAUCUUAAAACUCUAACCUGUUGUUUAUGUGGAGGAACUAAUGGAGUGUUCUCCAUGACCACGUAACAUGGGGCCUGGUAAUAUUAAAACUAAGGUGUCUGCACAGCCCUUGGAAUUUGUACCUCAUUGCACUGCUCUGUGGCUUUUCUGAACAGCAGUGUGGAUAGAGACUCUCCAGCAAAGCAGUGGUCUGUGGUGGCUGGUGGGUCUGAACUGGCUGGUGAAAAGUGCAUGUUCCUUCAGUCAACGGGUCAAUGAAGGUGACACGCAUCCAAGGCUGUAAGGAGGAGUUGGAGCUGCUGAAACACCAAGAUGAAAAGCAGAAACUGUGGAAGAAAGUAGAACCAGAUGAAAGUAGAAGCCUUCUGGAAGAUUCCUUGAGAAAUGAAGUCCUACAUGCCUUGAAGAUGCCAAGGAACCUCUAGAGAUGCAGCUAAUCAACCUGGCAAUGGAGAGGAAAGCUGUCUGUCCUGCUGUCUGGGAGAGAAGGUAAGAUGGUGUGGGGUGUUGCUGCGGAAAACAAUUCUGUAACUGUUGCAGAGUGGG